CAGUAGCCGCGGGAAUACGUAGGUCCCGAGCGUUGUCCGGAUUUAUUGGGCGUAAAGCGAGCGCAGGCGGUUAGAUAAGUCUGAAGUUAAAGGCUGUGGCUUAACCAUAGUACGCUUUGGAAACUGUUUAACUUGAGUGCAAGAGGGGAGAGUGGAAUUCCAUGUGUAGCGGUGAAAUGCGUAGAUAUAUGGAGGAACACCAGUGGCGAAGGCGGCUUUUUGGCCUGUAACUGACACUGAGGCGCGAAAGCGUGGGGAGCAAACAGGAUUAGAUACCCCUGUAGUCCCUGUCUCUUAUACA
rnacentral:rRNA from 1 species